rnacentral:rRNA from 1 species
GAUGAACGCUGGCGGCGUGCUUAACACAUGCAAGUCGAACGGAAAGGCUCCUGCUUGCCGGGGUACUCGAGUGGCGAACGGGUGAGUAACACGUGGGUGAUCUGCCCUGCACUUCGGGAUAAGCUUGGGAAACUGGGUCUAGUACCGGAUAGGACCGCAUUUUGGAUGGUGUGGUGGAAAGUUUUUUCGGUGUGGGAUGAGCUCGCGGCCUAUCAGCUUGUUGGUGGGGUAAUGGCCUACCAAGGCGUCGACGGGUAGCCGGCCUGAGAGGGUGUACGGCCACAUUGGGACUGAGAUACGGCCCAGACUCCUACGGGAGGCAGCAGUGGGGAAUAUUGCACAAUGGGCGCAAGCCUGAUGCAGCGACGCCGCGUGGGGGAUGACGGCCUUCGGGUUGUAAACUCCUUUCGCUAGGGACGAAGAGUAAUUGACGGUACCUGGAGAAGAAGCACCGGCUAACUACGUG